rnacentral:tRNA from 1 species
GUGGGUAUAGUUUAAUAAAAAUUCUAGAUUGUGAUUCUAGAGACAAAGGUUAAAUCCCUUUUACCCACC